UACAGAGGGUUGCCAAGCCGUAAGGUGGAGCUAAUCCCUUAAAGCUACUCUCAGUUCGGAUUGUAGGCUGAAACUCGCCUACAUGAAGCUGGAGUUACUAGUAAUCGCAGAUCAGAAUGCUGCGGUGAAUGCGUUCCCGGGUCUUGUACACACCGCCCGUCACACCACGGGAGUUGGAGACGCCCGAAGCCGAUUAUCUAACCUUUUGGAAGAAGUCGUCGAAGGUGGAAUCAAUAACUGGGGUGAAGUCGUAACAAGGUAGCCGUAUCGGAAGGUGCGGCUGGAUCACCUCCUUUCUAAGGAGA
rnacentral:rRNA from 1 species